rnacentral:misc_RNA from 1 species
UCCUGGUUAACCCAGGCAGUCUCAUUAGAGUUCCCACCCUAAGUGUUGGCAACUAAUGAUAAGGGUUGCGCUCGUUGCGGGACUUAACCCAACACCUCACGGCACGAGCUGACGACAGCCAUGCAGCACCUGUGUAGCGACCCUUUCGGGAGGCGACAUUUCUGCCGCUGUCCACUACAUGUCAAGUCUGGGUAAGGUUCUUCGCGUUGCAUCGAAUUAAACCACAUUCUCCACUGCUUGUGCGGGCCCCCGUCAAUUCUUUUGAGUUUCACCCUUGCGAGCGUACUCCUCAGGCGGCAUACUUAACGCGUUAGCUACGACACAACUGGGGUUGAGACCAGUUACAUCAAGUAUGCAUAGUUUAAGGCAAGGACUAC